GAUGAACGCUGACGGCGUGCCUAAUACAUGCAAGUCGAGCGAACGGACGAGAAGCUUGCUUCUCUGAUGUUAGCGGCGGACGGGUGAGUAACACGUGGAUAACCUACCUAUAAGACUGGGAUAACUUCGGGAAACCGGAUCUAAUACCGGAUAAUAUUUUGAACGGCAUGGUUCAAAAGUGAAAGACGGUCUUGCGGUCACUUAUAGAUGGAUCCGCGCUGCAUUAGCUAGUUGGUAAGGUAACGGCUUACCAAGGCAACGAUGCGUAGCCGACCUGAGAGGGUGAUCGGCCACACUGGAACUGAGACACGGUCCAGACUCCUACGGGAGGCAGCAGUAGGGAAUCUUCCGCAAUGGGCGAAAGCCUGACGGAGCAACGCCGCGUGAGUGAUGAAGGUCUUCGGACCGUAAAACUCUGUUAUUAGGGAAGAACAUAUGUGUAAGUAACUGUGCACAUCUUGACGGUACCUAAUCAGAAAGCCACGGCUAACUACGUG
rnacentral:rRNA from 1 species